rnacentral:tRNA from 1 species
UUAAAGAGAUGGGGAUUGAACCCAUAAUUAAGAAGUCAAAGUUCAAUGUUUUUCCUACUAAACUACUCCUUA